CCUGGCGGCUGUAGCGCGGUGGUCCCACCUGACCCCAUGCCGAACUCAGAAGUGAAACGCCGUAGCGCCGAUGGUAGUGUGGGGUCUCCCCAUGUGAGAGUA
rnacentral:rRNA from 1 species